rfam:Rattus norvegicus chromosome 7, whole genome shotgun sequence.
GGGGAUUUAGCUCAGUGGUAGGGCGCUUGCCUAGCAAGCGCAAGGCCCUGGGUUCAGUCCCCA